rnacentral:rRNA from 1 species
AUCCAGACUCCUACGGGAGGCAGCAGUGGGGAAUAUUGCACAAUGGGGGAAACCCUGAUGCAGCGACGCCGCGUGAGUGAAGAAGUAAUUCGUUAUGUAAAGCUCUAUCAGCAGGGAAGAAAAUGACGGUACCUGAGUAAGAAGCCCCGGCUAACUCCGUGCCAGCAGCCGCGGUAAUACGGAGGAUGCGAGCGUUAUCCGGAUUUAUUGGGUUUAAAGGGUGCGCAGGCGGCGAGUUAAGUCAGCGGUAAAAUUUGGGGCCUCACCCCCGACGAGCCGUUGAAACUGGCUUGCUAGAGUGGGCGAGAAGUAUGCGGAAUGCGUGGUGUAGCGGUGAAAUGCAUAGAUAUCACGCAGAACUCCGAUUGCGAAGGCAGCAUACCGGCGCCCAACUGACGCUCAGGCACGAAAGCGUGGGUAUCGAACAGGAUUAGAUACCCGGGUA